CAAGGUUUCCGUAGGUGACCUGCGCGAAGGAUCAUUAU
rnacentral:rRNA from 1 species